CAAAACUUAAACUCUGUCUGCUCAGUUAUAUAUGCCAUGCAGAAACAGCAUUCAAAGGAGGAGCUAGUGAAGCACCAUCACUUUAGCUUCAGCCAUGACUAUACUGGCUCCAAAUAGUGCCUUCUUUCAGCAUUACUUACAUGAAUCUCUUGUUGUCUCUUUUAACCAUCUCCGACGCUUAGGUGUUGGAUAUCUGGAAACUGAAGACAGACUAACCGCUGAAGCAAAGAGAAGAGGUUGGGGCUGCCUUAUAACUGAAGAAAAAACUUCCUGCCCUCUGGCACAAAAGUUACCAAACCUUAUCGCAAGGAACUACUCUGAGUUCCUUAAACUGUUCAAGCAAACGCGAGGGCUCACAGCCUCACACUCAGCACUGAGUGCUCUCAAGAGCUAUAGCCCAACUGAGCUGGAAAACUCCUUGAGCAGGUGUAAUCUUUCAAUAUGUUUGUUAUGGACUGCACCCUUGCCUGAUGCUGAUGAAAAGACCCCUGAUGUAGAAGUGAAAGCUUUGCCAUUUUGAGGAGCAAUAGCAAGAACAUGAGAUGAGACUUGAUCAUUUUCUAAAUGUGAUGUAACUGCAGAUGCCUGAACCCAACCACCUGGGAGCUGCCUCACAGCUACUAGUUUUGAUGCGCUUCAUAGAAAUAAGCAGGUAUCAGGUUCGGGGAAGCUGUCACUAUGCUGUGCUCGGAGUCGCAUUGCUCUCGGAGGACACCUGGUGGAAGCACUCUCAUCCACAAAGCCUCCUUUAUGGUGCCUGGACCACAGGGAUAUGUUUGCCUGGAAGCUGCCAAGCAAAGGAUGGUUUUGACUCUUAAGGAAGACGCUGGCAAGUCAUUGACUAGAGUUGGGCAUAGGUGUCCCCCUGAGUUUUGAGACUGCUUUCCCUGUAAUGGUACUGAGCGUGCAGAAAAUCACAGCAGGGAGCAGAGGAGGCAGGUGGAAGAUGGUUUAUUGUGUCCAGGAGUAUGAAUGCAGUGGACUAGACUCUGCAAAACUGCAGAUGAGAUAUCCUGAAUCAUGAAUAUUCCUAAUCACCAUUGCAUGUGAAAGUGUGAAUGUAAAGGCUUCUGCGUGUGGCCAUGGUAUCUAGAAAUGUAAACCGAGCUUUCU
rnacentral:lncRNA from 1 species